AUGGAAAUAAGCUAGUAAUAAGAAUGUUCACCGUUGUAGAUGGAAAGCCAGUGUUUAAAUAUACAUUGACCCAGUGGCAGACCAUCGUGGUACAUUAUGGUGGACUGGCCGGUCUAGCUCUCAUUGGGCUCCUUCUGGCAGCGAUUUUACCCUGCGUGGGGUUGUUUUUCUGCUGCUGCAGAUGCGCUGGUCAUUGCGGUGCUAGGAGUCAACCAUUCGACAAGAAGCACGAUCACUGCAGAAAGGUGAUAAUCAGCAUGGUGCUCAUAGGGGUUGCUACUAUUAUAUUGUUUGGUGUCGUCUGCGCGUUUGUCACGAACGAGUACAUGCAGGAUGGUACGAAAGAGCUGCCCAAUAAUCUCAAAACCAACCUGAACGAUGUAAAACUGUACUUGAACACUACGAAGGAACAGAUCAACAAAAUUCUGAAAACCAAUUUUGACGAGUUGGAGAUCAACCUGAACAACAUCCUCCAAGCCAGCGGGAGAAUAGUCACAGAACAGCUCGCCGAGUACUCCCACGCAGUCUCGCUGACUAAUCUCAGUGACAUCGUAGCUGGUUUGGAGUCUAUCAAAGAGGACCUGAAUACCAUGCAGACCAUCACGCGGGAUCUACGGACCAAUGCUAGUCAUUUAGACAACGCUGUACGAGGUGUUAAAAACAAUCUCCUCCACACGCUCGCGGCGUGCAAGACCCAGAAUUGCAAGCAGGUCCUGCACGAUUACAAAGUGAACCAGAUGUCGGUUAAGAUAGACUUCGACAAGUACAUGGACCGAUACUUCCCGAAGUUGCCAGAUGUCACCUCUGCCUUGUACAAUAUCACCAUGUUGAUGAGGGGCAACAUCGUGUCAGAAGUCAGCCAGGGUAAGGAGUCAUUUCUGAAAAUACAGAAAGACAUUCAGUACGCGGUGAAUCAGACCAUUCCCACGGUCAGCGCAAGCAUCAGAAACGUUGGAGGCUUCUCAGCUGCUCUUGCAAACAACAUAACAGCUCUCCUCGAUAGGAUAUAUGUUGACGUAGACAGGGUUUACAUCCGGCAUGUGGAUAUUGCUCGAACAAACAUUGAUCGGUACUCGCCAUACAGGUACUACCUGGGUCUAGGUAUAUCUGGAGUUGUGUUGACCGUUCUGAUGUGUUUGACUUUUGGCCUAUUUUGUGGAAUUUGUGGAAAACGGCCCGACGGUUAUGGUGACGAUUGCUGCAACAAAGGAUCCGGAGCACGAUUUUUGAUGAUGGCUGUUUGGAUCAUUUUUCUUCUGACGAGCGUCCUAAUGGUGAUCACCGUGGUGCACAUGGUCACUGGUGUCCUGAUGCAACGUGCAGUCUGCGAACCUUUAAAGAAUCCCAACGACAACAGAAUGUUCGCUCUGGUCGAUGAAAUCGUUCAGGUCAAGAAAGUACUGUACCCCAUCUCCGACGUGAACAUGAGCUACAUUGUUACACAGUGCCACCUGAACGAGUCGCUGUACACUGUACUGAAUCUGGAGCACCGCUACGAUGUGAAUGCACUACGGGAUUACGCCGGGCGCUACGACAUCAACAACACUAUCCAGCAUCUGCGUCGCAAAAUUAAUCUGUCUCCAGACGUGGUGAUUCUCACGGGAAGUGCCAAGUUGAAGCUCAACGAUCUCGCGCAGAGCGGGCUCAGCGACAUCAAGUUCUAUCAGUACGCCGAGAUCCUCGCCGAGAACAUCACGAACAUCAAUUUGGAGCAUUUGGCAAAACAACUGCGGGAAGUAGCCGCCAAGUUGCCCGAAGACCAGGAGGUUAUUCGCCUUAGCCUGGAGAAGAACGCGAACGAUCUGGAGCAGUAUCAUAGAGACCUGGUGAUACCGAUGGCGACACUUAGCGAACAAUUGAGCGAGAAAGCGUUGACGCUUCAGGAGAAUAUUAAUUUCAAUCAUAGCUCGAUGGCGGAAGCCAUUCACGACCUCGUCGAAGAAGUUACAAAGGCGCAAACGUUUCUGAACAAAGACGGACCAGAAUAUGUCCAACAUCUAGCAACCAGGUUCGGAAACGCUUUUCUUCGCCAAAUUGAUGACUACCUCGAUUACGUCAGCGUAAGUGCUUUGAAAGAUGUUGGAAGAUGUGCUCCUGUUUCAAACGCUUACAACGCUACUCUGGUCGCCGGUUGCAAUAAGAUUCUGGAUCCAUUUAAUGGUUUCUGGGUGAGUGUCGGGUGGUGCUUAAUCCUCUUCAUUCCAACCAUAGUGCUCUGCGUGAAACUGAGCGCGCUGUAUCAGAAAUCGGACCCGUACCCAGGACCCCUAGUCGAAGCUGAAUAUUUGUAUGACGCGUACGCAGACAGGGAUAACAUACCCCUUGCUCAUGUUCAUGACAAGAAAUACGUAUCUCAAAGCAGACAUCAUCCAUCGGCAUAUGUCGAGAGCUAUGACGGCCCUGCGGUCGGAUACGAGCGGGAAAGGAUCUCUGACGCGCAUCAAAGCACGUCCCACCAUGACUCCAGAUACUCUGAUUUGGCGCCGAAGUGAGUGGGAACCUUGCGGGGGGGCAACUUCCCGCGUCUCUCGAUACGCCUCUGCACGUAAGUCGCAAGACAGAUUGUUAUCAAAUACGUCUUCGUUUUUAUUAGUUCCUAUUUCUUUCUUUUCUUUCUUUUUUUUUUUUUAAAUUCAUUAACUUACCUUUUUUUUUGUUCAAUUUCUUUGCGUCGCAGGCAAAAUAGCUUUGCUAGAGCUUUUACGAGUCGGUUACUACAAGCUGGAAGAAAUUCGCGUGGCAUCAACAGUUACCCUACACGCCAUCGCAAAUACGAAUUGUGUUAGACGAUAUAAGACCUGAAUAGAGCAUGUUUUCGAGUUUCGAGUCAUCGUUUUAUCAAAGGAAGUCACAGAUACAAAAUUAACUUCGUUUUUGCUUCGGCAGCUUCGUCAUUUGUUUGUUCGCUAAGGCAUACAUGCUGUGGCAAAGACACUACGUUCGAUGUUGACGACUUUUAUCUUGUACUCUUUUUUCUUUGUGUUCGUACUUUUUUUUUUCUCGUUCGAUACGUCCGACGAAGGAUAGAGUAUAAGUUGUACAAAGGAAAAUGUAUUUUGUGAUUUGUUAACGCGAUAGUGUUGGUUGCAGAAAUUGGGACUUCCCUAAUGGUGGUCCUCCUAGGUACCAGCCGGCUGCCGUGGCUCCUCCGCCGCUGAGCACAGAAUACGAACGACCACCUCCUUACUAUUAUCCUGGGCCAGGGGACAGAAAUUAGGAAACAAGUGCCGUGGCAUGCACAAAGGUAGCGCUGAGUAGCGUAGCUACUCAUAGUCUCACCCGCAGUUACAGAAGGACGCUCAAAAAGAAAGAGAAAUUCAGAUGCAAACGGGACUACGUUUAAUCGCAGCGUUCCUGAUGGGCGUGCCACGGACCGUGCAAACGGCAAAAUCAAUUAAAGACCAAGUUUGAUACAGACUGAGGUAGACUAAAUGGAACCCUUCGGCGAGCGCGAGUAAUGUGAUCUACGUGUGCGAUUCGUUUAACUUUAGUAUUAUUUAAAAACCAAGCGUUACAACGAGAGAAACGUUCACGUUGCGGGAACAGUUUCAAUCGUGCUGUCACCUUUUCUUCGGUUUCCCCUCCUAAUUGUUUAUUGUUCAUUAUUUUUUUUUUAUUAUUAUUAUUUUUUUUUAUUACAAGACGAUCUGUAAUGUAGCGAUGAUUUUCAUCGUUUGUGCUAUAUUAAUUGAUUUCUUCACAUGACUGAUCGUUUAUCGCCCUUUUCUUCGACAUUUAAUCUUUCUUCUGUUAAUUGCCAUUGCGACCAAGUGUUCUAUCCUUGAUCCACGAUACGUCUUCAAGCUUUUGCGUGUAUUACUCGUUACAAACAUUGACUGGCAACUGCCGAAGACGUGCCGAAUGUUAUCGUCGUUUAUUUUUAUUAAAACAAAGUGUUUUUUUUAAA